GGAAUAUUGGGCAAUGGACGAAAGUCUGACCCAGCGACGCCGCGUGCGGGAUGAAGGCCUUCGGGUUGUAAACCGCUUUCAGCAGGGAAUAAGCGCAAGUGAAGGUACCUGCAGAAGAAGCACCGGCUAACUAUGUGCCAGCAGCCGCGGUAAUACAUAGGGUGCAAGCGUUGUCCGGAAUUAUUGGGCGUAAAGAGCUCGUAGGUGGUUUGUUACGUCGGUUGUGAAAUUCAGGGGCUCAACCCCUGACUUGCAGCCGAUACGGGCAAGCUAGAGUUUGGUAGGGGAGACUGGAAUUCCUGGUGUAGCGGUGGAAUGCGCAGAUAUCAGGAGGAACACCGAUGGCGAAGGCAGGUCUCUGGGCCAAUACUGACACUGAGGAGCGAAAGCGUGGGGAGCGAACAGGAUUAGAUACCCUGGUAGUCCACGCCGUAAACGGUGGGCGCUAGUUGUGCGAACCUUCCACGGUUUGUGCGACGCAGCUAACGCAUUAAGCGCCCCGCCUGGGGAGUACGAUCGCAAGAUUAAAACUCAAAGGAAUUGACGG
rnacentral:rRNA from 1 species